UACGUAGGGUGCGAGCGUUGUCCGGAAUUAUUGGGCGUAAAGAGCUCGUAGGCGGUCUGUCGCGUCGGUCGUGAAAACUUGGGGCUUAACCCUGAGCUUGCGGUCGAUACGGGCAUGACUGGAGUUCGGCAGGGGAGACUGGAAUUCCUGGUGUAGCGGUGAAAUGCGCAGAUAUCAGGAGGAACACCGAUGGCGAAGGCAGGUCUCUGGGCAUUAACUGACGCUGAGGAGCGAAAGUGUGGGGAGCGAACAGG
rnacentral:rRNA from 1 species